rnacentral:rRNA from 1 species
AUACGAAGGGUGCAAGCGUUACUCGGAAUUACUGGGCGUAAAGCGUGCGUAGGUGGUUGUUUAAGUCUGUCGUGAAAGCCCUGGGCUCAACCUGGGAAUGGCGAUGGAAACUGGGCGACUAGAGUGUGGCAGAGGGUAGUGGAAUUCCUGGUGUAGCAGUGAAAUGCGUAGAGAUCAGGAGGAACAUCCGUGGCGAAGGCGACUGCCUGGGCCAACACUGACACUGAGGCACGAAAGCGUGGGGAGCAAACAGGAUUAGAUACCCUGAUAGUCCACGCCCUAAACGAUGCGAACUGGAUGUUGGGUGCAAUUUGGCACGCAGUAUCGAAGCUAACGCGUUAAGUUCGCCGCCUGGGGAGUACGGUCGCAAGACUGAAACUCAAAGGAAUUGACGGGG